UACGUAGGGGGCGAGCGUUGUCCGGAUUUAUUGGGCGUAAAGAGCGCGUAGGCGGCCAGGUAGGUCUGCUGUGAAAACUCGAGGCUCAACCUCGAGACGUCGGCGGAAACCAUCUGGCUAGAGUCCGGAAGAGGAGAGUGGAAUUCCUGGUGUAGCGGUGAAAUGCGCAGAUAUCAGGAAGAACACCCGUGGCGAAGGCGGCUCUCUGGGACGGUACUGACGCUGAGACGCGAAAGCGUGGGGAGCGAACAGG
rnacentral:rRNA from 1 species